UUUCCUGCUGCUGCUUAGUUAAGUUGGAUUGCAGGUUUUGGGCAGAAAGUUUUCAGCAGCUGUAAAAGCCAUCUUCUUGUCAGGAUUGCAGCAAACACAAUCAAAAACUGCUUUUCUGCCGAAAGAGAUUUAUCACAUGAUGAAUGUGAGAUUCAAGAUACACCUUUCUUUACAUGAUCAGCAUCUUCACAGCCCAUAAACAUUUUGAAGUGACCUUCGGUUCUGUCCGUAUUCAAUGCUGUCAUUUUGAAGUUGGAAUUACUGCCUUCUCGGAUAGUUCCUGAAAGUUACUUUCAUGGUAUGUGUGCCGCCUACAAAUCUUCUCCUAGUGCUUUUUUUUUUUUUUUUGGUUUUAAUUCAUGCUUCAAGACCUAAAAAUUCAUGUUUUUAACUUAGAAUAUCAUCGGAAGCGGCUUAAAUAUUAUGUUUCUAAAUUGCAGAAAAGAGCAUUAACUUGGGCAUUAAGCUUAAAAAAAGACCACAUGAAGACCAUAAAUCCACCAAAACAUUAUUAUAAACUCUCUGGACUCUUCAAUUUAUGGAAGUUUGUUGAAUAGCUUUUCUGUUAGAAACUCUGCAUUUUUUUUAACACCAUAUGGUCGCUAGAAAUACCUGCUGAAUAAAAUUAGAAACCAAAACGUCAUUAGAUUCAUCAUCAAUAAGAAAUUACCAUUUGCAAAAAAGUUCACUCUCAAUUAGGGAACUUAAUGGCCAAAAUCAAGGUGGGGAAAUGAUAGUAUGAAGUACAAAAUGAAAAAAUUAGAUCAAUUGAUGCACAUGCUGAAUAUUGGAAGACAUACAACAUGUUUUGGUUGGAAUAUGUACAUGUGUUUCCUAUACAUGUUUUAUUAGCUAAUUGGGAAGUAUGACCCGUCUGGUGAAGUAGAUGGUUGUGCCAAAAAUAAUGUUUGAAGCCUCAAAACUCAUCCGUUAUUUUGGACUCUUGAUCAGUUGUGACUUCAAAGUAGGUGGAGCAGUGAUAAUUAAGAUAAUAAAACGGCAUGUGGUGGAAAUGCAUUUAUCAAGAUUUCAGAGUGAGCGAGGAAGCAUGUGUCUGCGUCCGUUGACCAUGGAUUGUUUUAUGGAAGCAGCUGUUUUUUCAAUAAAAAAAUAAAACAAAAAAAAAGAGAAAAGAGAAGACAUUGAUUGCAUUAGCGUUAAAUAGUUAUGAAGCCAAUUAGCCAUCAUAUAUAAUAAUGAUUAUUAUGUAUGCAGUGCAAAAUUGCUCUAUGAAUCUAUAUAAUUACAUAAUUCUUG